AUGAUAAGCUCACUAGGGUUGACUAUUGUACCCGUUUUGUUGUUUGCAUUAGCGGAAGGACCACAGCCAUCGCCCGUCUCCCAUCUCCAAGAUGGCGGAGGCAGCUUCAACCUCACCUCUCGCGAGGAGUCUGUCUCACUGUCUCUGAUUAGCCCCGAGGUCAGAGGUAUAACAAAGACUCUUGAGAGCUCAGGCGCCAGAAUUCUGGCAAUGAAAGAAGACACCCAGUCCCUUCUGAAGGCUCCCAUCGCUGUAGUGUUCUGCACGUGCUGUUGGAAAUCAUGAACUGCUGCGGCUGUUUUCCCACCAUCUGCCUCCUGGCCCUCAGACGAACGCAACAACCCCUGACCAUCUCCAGUUUUGCCUCUCCAGUCUUUCCUCCAUAUUAAGUAAUUGUCAUACACCUGUUCACAUCACUCAGAAGCUACCUCCUCUACUGGAUAAAAUCCAGACUUCUAAUGGUGAGUCAUAAAGUCCUUGAGGACCAGCUACCUCUACUUUUUCACCAUCAUCUCCACCCACUUGUCUUUAACUUAACUCUUUCCUAGUAUUCUAUUUUACAUAAGACAGGCAUUCUCCUGGCUUACGUAAAUAGGCUGUUUUCCCUUAGCUUAAAAUGCCUUUCUCUGGCCUCUCCACCUUCACAAUGUGACCUCAGUGGUUAUGUGUCCUAACAAGCUUUCCUUAUCCUCUUUUUCUUAAGCUGCCCAACUUGGGCAUCUCUCUUGCUCCAAUGAAAAUUUGCACUUAACCUCUCUAUAUGAUUUUGAACCAUACUGUAAUAUGUGUCCUUGUCUCACUUCAUGAACUAAGAUCCUGUUGAGGAGGAGGACUUUGUCUUACUUAGCCUUGUUACCCCAUCAGCUUGCAGUGUCUGGCAUAAAUUAAGUAUCUAGAAAAUGUCUGUUAAAUCAACUGGGCCCAGAAACCUUGUGCCUA